rnacentral:tRNA from 1 species
GGGGCUGUAGCUCAGUGGCAGAGCACUUGCCUGGCAUGUUUGAGGCAUUGGGUUCAACCCUUAGCACCA